rfam:Photobacterium damselae subsp. piscicida DI21 genomic scaffold scaffold00003, whole genome shotgun sequence.
CGUGCUCUGUUGUUCAGAGUUAUUAAUGAAACAUCAAGUCAAAGUAAACCCUCAGUAUAUCUUCAUUUUUGUUGCCAUUCUUAGUGUUCCUUCGGUUUAUCGUCACAUUCAAUAAUUCAAGCUCAGUGCAAGUACGUCGUAAAUUUUUUACGAUAACAUUAUGAAUUAUAUUUAAAUAAGGGAUAGAUUAUGUCUAAAGCAACUGGUAUCGUUAAGUGGUUCAAUGAAGAGAAAGGUUUUGGUUUUAUUUCUCAAGACAAUGGCGGCGCUGACGUAUUCGUUCACUUCCGUGCAAUCGCUUCUGAAGGCUUCAAAACUCUAGCUGAAGGUCAAAAAGUAUCUUUUGACGUUGAGCAAGGCCAAAAAGGUCCUCAAGCUGCAAACGUUGUAGCUCUAUAAGAUUUUAUUGGCGUAGAUAAUUCCUAUCUACGCCGAUUUC